rnacentral:hammerhead_ribozyme from 1 species
AUCCAGCUGAGGAGUCCCAAACAAGACGAAACGCGCGUCCUGGAU